CUAGUAUGGGCCACACAACCACAUCCAAUAACUCAUACAACACCUGCAUGUGGCAUUUAACAUUUUCAAGGCACCACACAGACAUUAACUAAUGAAUGAUGACAGCAUCCUUGUGAGUGAAGGACGAAUCCCACAAAAGCCACUGGAGAUGGAGCAGGUGGUCACCAGCCUUCCCCCACCUCAGGGCACCCAAGGGCAGAA